CAGACAUGUCGGGGGUCCGGGUGGUGUCGCGGCUCCUGGGCGCCCGGCGCCUGGCACUGACUAGGGCGGUGAGUCGGCGCCGUGGGGCGGGCAGGGCGCGGGGAGCCGAGGAGGGGCAGGACUUCCCACGGGGCGGAGCGGACGCCGAGUCCCCCCGGCGCCGGACCGGGACGGGGUCGCGAGGGUCUGGGGGAGGAUGCGGUGAGGAGGCCGCCCGAAGGGGUGGGGCCGACCCGGAGGGCCGCGGGACUCCUUCUGAAGCCAGCGAGUCGCGUCCCGGUGAAGGUCAUGACCCCGCUUGCCGUCCCCGGGGACCCUUCCCCAGAGUACUAAGGUCGCCCCCGCCCCAGCCUUCGGCGCGUGGGGAGGCGUGUUUGCCCGAGGUCACCCUGACAGGUGGCGGCCCGUGGGUGCCCCGGGCCUCUGAAUCCAAAAGCGCCCUUAGAUCUCCGGCGGAGGCGGGCCGGCAACCGCAGGCGCGCGCCGGCCGGGCGCUGUGCCGAUCGCCCUGGGGACGGUCCGUCGGGUGCCAGCAGCCCCGAGGACCCGGCCGGGCUCGGCCCUCCCGCCCCAGGCAGGGUAGGUGGGAGGCACGUCUGACACCGGCGCUGGCGCUUGCCUGGCAACUGUUUGCAAAACCGCGCUUCUUCGGGGAAAGCGAAGACCCGUGUUUCACACCGGGAUCUGGCAACUUUUGGACCUUCAUUUUGGGUUUUGUAUGGUGGCCUUUUGCGCACAUUAGAAAACCAGGCGAAGAACGUCAGCGCUCUGACCGCAGACCACGUUCGGGCGACGGCGCCGGGAAGUCUGAUUUCCCGUGCGUUGUCUGCCCGGACUCCGGUCAGUCGUGGAUGACCGUCAGGGUUGUGCCUUCUGGAGCCCUUGCUUACCGGAUUGUGUCAGAUGUACUCCUUACAGUUACGUCUUCAGGAUCUACCUUUUCAGGUUUUAUUUCAGCACACUAAACUUGGAGGGGUUGUUGUUUGGGUUCUUUUAUAUGAUCCGCCUGCCCACCUACUUAGUAAUGUAAUUACAGAGUGAAAAUCCCAGUGGGAACCGAGGCAUUCAACAGUAUUGACAGGAGUUAUGCCUGUAGUUAUACCUGCAAUUUUCUCCAUUUUGAAAUACAGAUACUAAAAAUUAAGUUAAAUGUGAGAAGGUUAACUCCGCCAUCCUGCCAAUGCCAGAGAACGUUUUCAAUGCUUUCUCGUGCUGCUGUGGUUGAUGCUUCCUGAGCAGAGGUCCCCACUCUCCACACCCCACCCAUCUUGGGCUCUAAGUCCACAAGCUGGAUGGGCAGUGGGAUAUUCUUCGGCAAACGUGAGCAGACUUCUUAGUGCCUCCUGCUUGUUAAGUGCAGUGACCAGUAACUGGUGGUGCUGGGAGAAGAGCUAAACAUGUGUGUCCUCGGUCACCCCAGCGUUCUUGUGCAGACUAAGACCCCUCCAGUCUGUGGAACUCCCUUGACCACCUGCCUGCCCUUUGUUUAUGACCUUGUUGUCCUUUAUGUAAACUGGACUAGAAUUCUAGCUCUGAGCUCUGAGCUGCAAGUGAGAAUAAGAUUCUGAGCACCACUGGUCAGAGUGUGUAAACCUGUACUUUUGUAUUGGCUUGAUUGGAAGUUAUCUUGGUUGAAUCAACUAUUAGCUGCCAGCAUUUACCCUUCUUUUUACCUUGAUGAAGAUAGCUUUUCCUGUGGAAAUUAAUUCUGCCCCCAAGCAGUAUAUGUAGUGGAAUUUAAGAUUGGCAAAAACAAAAGCAUCAACUUAGAACAACAACAACGAAAUGUAUGAUCACCAACUGAGAAAUGUGCACGGAGAGUAGAUGAUGAGGGUAGUUUGAAUAAAAUCCACAGAGAAUUUUUCUUGAUUUCAUUUUGUUCAAUUCUCUGGUGUUUCCAAGGCAGUUUAUAUUUACAGCUGCUUUCAAGUUGCAAAAUCAUCAAACCUAUUUUGCGUUGGUUUCAUUUUUAGUUAUCUUAAUGCACUGACAUAAUUUGCAGACUGUUCUGGUGUAUUGAAAGGAAAAGUAAAAGCAAGGUCCUUAAAUAGUUGCUGGUUAAUUGCUUCAGAUGAGAUUUUUCAAAUUCUUUAACAUGGAUAUCCAAAGUACUGUUCUAGAGUAAGUCAGUUUUUCUUUGAAUGUAUUGUUUUGAAUUUGGCUUAAUGAUGUAUCUAGAAUUACAUUAUUUAGGCCAUUGUGGUAACCUUUUUUGUUUUCCUUUUUGGGGUAAUUGUACCGCUGUGGCAUUCAUUUCUGCAUUCUGUGGGAUGUUUUUCCUGGUUCACUGGAAAAAUUGUGGCUUGGUUUUGAUACGUAAUCUGGAUAUGCAUCUUAUUUUGGAGUCCCAGAGAUUUUUCCUAAGGCUCCUUACCUAGGGGGGAUGUACUGAAUCUGGUACCAGCCAGGCAGACCAGAGUUCAGACCCUGGAUAGACUCCAUUUCUCUUUCAUGAGGGUUCUGGGAGGUAGCCUGUGACGCCCUGGUGUGGUGAUCAUUCUAGCCAGGACCUACACCUACAGCCUGUGCUCGAUAAUCUUGUGAAUUGUAUUCUAAGCAUCCCUGUUUUAAAAACCUUUAAACUUCUAAUGAAAAUAAUUACACAUAGUUAUAAAAAAAAAAGUCAAGGAAUACAGAGGCUUUAUAAAUGAAAAGGAUUGAGACCCUCUCCUAACCUCAGACCUGUUCCCCAGUGAAAUCACUUCUGAAUUGUUUCUGUUAUUGGCCGCUGGUGUUUACCUCCAUGUCUCUAGCUAAUGUGCAGGCUUACGUUCAUCCAUUUUGGACUUUGACUUGUGGCUCUGAAUGAGGACUCAGUUCGCUUAAACCAUCUUCCCCCAUCCUCAGUUCUUCCCAUGGCCUUCCAAGGCACUUUCAGAGCCUUUAUGGGCUGCUUUUCUUAUUAUACAGAUUGUACUUACAAAUAGUUUCUUGUCUGCAAUUCAUAGGUGAACGCUAUCAGAUGGGGACCUGUACUUCGCUAGAUUAAGGGUUUCAAUAUCUCUGCCCUUCUCUUCAGUUUUCUCCCUUUUACCAUUUAAGUCAUUCACUUGUGCUUUCAUGUCAUUAAAAGCUCUGUUUCUUUUAAUUCUGCCUCCAAGGCAGAUUUCCUCACGCUUCUUUACGUUUCCCUGUUGGAAAAUGUUUGAUAGUUUUACUUCAAAAAAUGUUAAAUAGUUUUAUUUAUAGACAAAUUGGGUUAAUUUUGGGCUCUCCAGAUUCUAAAAUUGCUCCUCAAAUCCGAUUUGGAUAAAAAGCUAGUAUUCUAUUUUCCACAGGGAGAUAGUAUGAUAAUUUGUUAGAGAUUUCAUUUUAACAGCUGCCAGUGUUUGAGAUGGCCGUGUGUGUCUAUCUUUAUUUAACGUGAACAUCCUAGAAAGAAGAAAUAAAUACUUAGGGAAUCUCACUGUUACUAUUUUACUUUUUUACAGUUCAACUUAAGCAGGUAAGUUUAAUGAUCAGAACAAAAAUGGGAUCGCUUAGGAAAAACUAUAUAAAAGACGCUUUACAGUAUAAUAUGUCCUUUUCAUGUUGAUUAUUUUUAUAGGAUUUAAUAUGUGAUUAUUCUUCAGUUUUCUGAAUUAAAAUUGUUCAGGUGGCCAUAAAAUCUGGAAACAUAGACAAAUAUACAUAAUAAAUAGUUUACUCAUAUUCCAACAAAUGUUCAAUGAAUGUGCUGUUCCUCAUUAGCAUUUCAUACUUUAACAAGUUAUGCAAAACUGCAUGUGCACCAAAGCACUAUUUCCAUCAAUCCUCGUACAUCCACCUACAACGAAUCGCUUGUGGGGAUUUGUGUGUCUCACUUUCCCUGAAUAAACGUGUGCCUUUAGCACACCCAAGGUGUAAUUAAGGAAGAAGUGUCUGUCAUCUGUGUUUCUGGAUUGUGUGGUCCUGUUUUUGGUUUUGUUUUUUUUUUUAAGUUUCACCUACUAUAAGUCUUAAAAACAUUUUUGACCAUUCGUAUUAUACCAAGAAAAAAGAUGAAUACUAAAUACAAGCUAAUGGAAAAACAAAAAUUCAUUUGUUUUACCUUUCUAUUCCACAUCACAACAUUUUACUGAAAAUGAAGGGAUUUUUCAUCUAUAGAUAAAAGACUCUAAAUGGUACUUAGGUUGUUUUACAAGUUUGAUUUUAAAAUCGUUUAGAAUUCACAAUGGGUCUUACACACAAUGAUUUCAAUAAAUCAGGCACUCCAGAGCACAAUUGGAGGUGUAACAAUUAUGUGAUGACUUCUUAACAGUCCAAGGAGAUAAAGACCUUUUUUUCAAAUAUGGAAAGAAAUUAAUCUUUCUGCAGUAUUAACCCCUAAAAGCUAUCUUCCUUUAUAGACUACAAUAUUAUUGUCAAUUUAAUAUACUUUUAUUUUUUUUAAUCUUAUUUUUAAUGUUUGUUUUACUUUUGAGAGACACAUCCAGUGCGAACGGGGGAGGGACAGAGAGAGAGGGAGGCGCAGAAUCCUAAGCAGGCUCCAGGCUCUGAGCUGUCAGCACAGAGCCUGAUGCAGGGCUUGAACCCAUGAACCGUGAUAUCAUGACCUGAGCCGAAGUCAGAUGCUUAUCUGACUGAGCCACCCAGGCACCCCCAUAUACUUUUAAAAAGAACUCCCAGAGGAAGAAAUUUCUGGAGGUUUUCCCAAAUAUAUACAGCUACUUUUUCUGUCAUGCUUACAACAUCUGCAAAGUACGGAAUGUUCAAAUGCAGAUUCUUAUGAUCAAGGGGCUCCAUAAUUGCCUCCUCCAUAUACUCUUUGAGGUCAGUCACUUUCAUAACUAUUCCUGUAAUAGGAUCAAUCUCUCCAUGUACUGUCACCACAACUUUAUAAUUGUGCACGUGGCCAUUUGGAUUGUUGGCAUUCCCAAACAAUUUCAAGUUUUCUUCAUUACUCAGAGAUGUGCUGUGGAGCCAGUAGGUCGCUCUGAGGGAGAUGAGGUGGGACAGUUGCGUGGUGUUCUUGGCUUGCCUUCCCACUUGGUUGGUGGUGGGGCUGGGACAGGCUCUCUGUUUCUAUUUUGAUUUCAAUUUGGUAUUGUAAAAUGUAUUGUUCUUUUUUGGAACUAUUACCUUUAUCUUGUACUUCAUUAAAAUUUCAUGAACAUUUGUAUUUUGCUGACUUGGUUAUUUGUUAAGAUGUGAUUUUUACCAUUUAAAAAUUAUACUAAAGCAGAAGAAUAUUCUUUUUAAGUUUUUUAAUUCGUUUACUGGACAAAAAGUUGACUUAUGUCAAUAAAAACAAAAGUACUUAUGGGCGCUUGGGUGGCUUAGUCGCUUAAGCAUCUGACUUUAGCCCACAUCAUGGUCUUGUGGUCCAUGAGUUCGAGCCCUGUGUUGGGUUCUGUGCUGACAGCUAAGAGCCUGGAGUCUGCUUCAGAUUCUGUGUCUCCCUCUCUCUCUGCCCCUCCCUGGCUUGUGCUCUCUCUUUCUCAAAAAUAAAUAAACAUUAAAAAAUACAUAUAUACUUAAAGUUGAAAUUGGAGAAUUCAAGAAUAUUGCAUUUAUCAGUUCAGGUCUACUUAGAAAUUCAAGAAACUUCUUUGUAAUUGGAACUGUUAGCAUAAAGUCAACUAUUUGUGGCAGGCAUCAUUUGGUCUCAGUGCUUAAGAAAGUCUAAAAAAAUAUUUUUAAGUUAUUCUUGAGAGAGAGAGCGAGAGGUGGGGAGGGGCAGAGAGAGAGAGAGGGAGAGAGUGAGCAUCCCAAGCAGGCUCUGCACUGUCAGCACAGAGCCCAGAUGCAGGCCUAGAACUCAUGAACUGUGAGAUCGUGACCUGAGCCAAAACCAAGAGUCAGUUGCUUAACUGACUGAGCCACUCAGGUGCCCCUAAAUGCUAAAGAAAGUCUAGAGGUUGGAGCCACCUGCUCCAUUUGCAAGCGGCCAAGCCCUCCAGCCUGGCCUGAGGCCAUUAAUCUUCAAAGAAAGUCCUUCUGUUCAAAACCACUCAGAGUUCAUUUUGUAUUUUGCCAAAUUCUCCUCCCUGAAUUCUCCACUUGUUUGUCCUACAGAAUAAUUUUUUUACCCCACAGAAUAAAUAGCAUCUCUUCCAAACUGCAGAAUACUCGAAGACAUCUCUCAUAUCCCCUUUGUCAUUGUUAAACAUACUUAAUUCCUAAAACUGUUCAUGAAAUUGCUAAGACUUCAUUUUAUCAGUAGCCGUCUAAAAUGCAGUCAUAGAACAGAAAGACAUGCCUUAUAAGUUGGUUUUCAUAUAAAGAAGAUGGCCCCUCAGGCUGGGCUGUGAUUUCAUUAAUACCAAUUUUCUUGAGUAAAUGUGUUCAUAGGGUGGAACAUUUAAGCCAAAACUUGGAGAGUUGGAGAGAUUAGCCAGGGAAUGGCCAGGGACAAGUGUUCAGACAGGGAACAGCACCCUGGAGUAUGACAGAGGAGAGGGGAUGUGGCUACAGCCCAGCGCAGGUGUGGAGAGUGGUGAAGCAGGAGCAUCUCUAGGCCUGGAGUCUUCACAUUCACAGUGAAGGGUUGGUCCCGCUGGUACCCAGUGUCAGGGUGAGCAGUAGAGCCUCUUGUAGAAGAUGGAUCUCCCAAUACACUGUCCCAGGCCUUUUCCAGUGAACCACAAAACCUUGCAGACGUGUGGUGCUAUAGUGUGAAGAGGGUCAUGAUGGAUCCAGUAAAAGUGCUUCAUUGUAAACUACCACUUUCACAAAAUAGAUGGGUUUCCCAUUGUCCACUAAAAACCAUAAAUUAAGAAAUGAACGUGACAUUGUGUCCUUUUCAUUUCCUGCUGAGUCUGUGAGUGUCCUGCUUGGAGACAAGCUUCAUCUAGAAGAGCUUUUCUCGGAGUGCCAACUCCUUGCCACUUGGGCCUGCCCUGGGUCCUUAGUCCGCCUCUACCCUUCAGGGUUAAGUAGAGGACCCCAGGUGAGCUGUCUAGGUGAAGGAGCAGCUGGAUACAUAAAAAGGUUAAUGACUUGGGAAAUUUUGAUGAUUUGUUAUUCUUCUAAGACACUUAAGUGCUCUCCAUCUCUCCAUCUCUGUCUCAGCAGUGGCCCGCGACAUGGCAGGCAGGCACCUGCGGUUUUCACUUCACUAUUGAUGGGAAUAAGAGGUCUUCAGCUAAAGUUUCAGAUUCAGUAAGUUUACAACUUUUUGUUCCCUUAUAAAUGAUAUGCUUGUCUUAGAGGAAUAAUGAUCUAUGCCAGUCUUCAAUAUAUUGGAGUAAUACACAGGUCUUAUUUAAAGGAAAACAUUCUGGUUCCAAUAAUGCUCUAUUUUUAGUGUAUAGCACUUAACUGUAGUACAAAUGUAAGCAUAGUUACUAACAUUUUUUGCUUAUGGUUCUUAAGUAUCUAUAAACCAGAUUAAAAUUUAAAGCAGCAAAAUAAUAAAAUACCAGUGACCACUGAACAUUAUUCAUUGUGACAGAUGACAUAGGACCCUGAAGCCACUUGUGUGUAGGCUCUUGGUGUUUACUGGGUCUGUUCUGUCCUCUGCUGAAGGCACUAAAAUUUGUUUACAAAUUCUUUUCUCACAAGCUCACAAUAGUUACUGAAUACUAGUUGGCACCUUCUCAGUCCAACACAAACAUGGUCCUGAAACCGGGGGGUGGUCCUCAGUGCUGAGGCAGUUGCCCAGAUGAAUCGGAAUGUGCCUACCUAAUUAAAACAACAUACUGGGGCACCUGGGCGGCUCAGUCGGUUAAGCAUCCGACUUCAGCUCAGUUCAUGAUCUCGCGGUUUGGGAGUUGGAGCCCCGCAUCAGGCUCUGUGCUGACAGCUUUCGAUUCUGUGUCUCCCUCUCUCUCUCUGUCCCUCCCCUGCUUGCACUCUGUCUCUCUCUCCUUCAAGAAAUAAAUAAACAUUAAAAAAAAAAAAUUUACCUUUUCUUGAGAAACUUGCUGACCGCAGGUGGAGAAUCAUGAUCUAUAUACUGCAUUAUGAGCUUAGAUUCACACAAGCAUGUGUAUGAAUAUAUGGCUGUCAACGGAAAAAGAUGAACAGAAAGGAUAAUGGAGUAGGAAAGCCGUAUUUAGAACUAAUAUUUUGAUUUGUGUCGUUGCUUUCCUUUGCUUCCACGGUUCCCUGCUUUGAGGCUGUACCUCUUGUUUUCAACAUUUCACUUCAUGGUGGGUGUCCCAGGUGCUAGGAUGCGUGCUCCCUCUUCGUCGGGUCUGUGUUUCGGUCCUGUCGGUGUGGGGUGUGCCAGCCACACACUCUGGGUCCUGGCACAGGGUGGAGGCCCCUCUGCUGUGGUUGCUCUUUCAUCGCUUCUUCCAUUUUGUCUGAGCUCUUGCACUGCACCCACCGUCCCAAUGUGUGGCAUAGGUAAAUGGGUGGUUGACAGGUGAAUUGUUCCUUUCCAGAUUUCUACGCAAUACCCGGUAGUGGACCAUGAAUUUGACGCGGUGGUGGUAGGCGCUGGAGGGGCAGGCUUGCGAGCUGCGUUUGGCCUUUCCGAGGCAGGGUUUAACACGGCCUGCGUCACAAAGCUCUUUCCUACGAGAUCACACACCGUUGCAGCCCAGGUAAGAGAAAGGGGCCCCCUUAAUGGUUUUGGCGCCUGCACAGCAGUGCUCAGUCUUCUGCCACAGGCCUUCUCACUGCACGCCAGCCAUGUUCCUGUCUCUCUGCUCCUUGCACCCACCUGGCUUACUCGCCUUGGGAGUGUGUUCCCACACUGCCUCCACCCCCACUGCCGGAGUCACUCCUAGGGCCUCUUAUCGCUCUGCUGCUCCAGUGACACUCAGGUCUUCUCUGAGCACCCACCUAAUCCUCUGGCCCCCAUCAUAGUUUGUCUUCACUGUACUUUCCCAAUCUAAAAUGAGCCUGUCUCUGGACUGAUUCUCUUGGCCCUGCUGCAUCCUUGGCAUGGGCCUCGUUAAGUAUGAUGAUGAUGAGCUUUGCUGGUGGCAUGAAUGUGCAGGACAGAAGAACAUUGGCCUUUAAAUGCUCAAAAUUUAGGGAAGAGGAUAAAAGUAAGAUGAAAAAGUACACAGUGAUUUUAUAAUUUUGUUUUCUUUCCUGGCACACCGUAGGUGGUACGCAGGUUGUAUAUAGUAUUCCAAAACUGGAAUGAAUUGAACUGUUUUUUCCAGUAUUUGGAACAUAUUUCCUCAUAGAGAUAGCAGAGUGUGGGGUAACUUUCCAGGAACCAGUAAAAGCCACCCUAAUUACUGUUGUAGCCUGUAUUCAGCAUGCAGCAACAUUCUUCAGGCACUUUGCUACACAGAUACUUUGUUCUAAAACUAUGUGUUAUAAACUGAAAAAUAAAUAAUACAUACUUUUGAAGAUUACAUUGUGUCUAAAAGGAAAAAUGGAUGUAAACAUAAGUCUAAAUAAUGAGAAAUAAUAGUAUAUUCAGGUAGUGCAAUAUUAAAACAAUAAAAAGUUAGAAAUGGAUAGCUUACCUUGAAUGCUGGUUGGAGAAAGUAAGGUUUAAUUGGGGGGAUAAGACAGGUGGGGACUGGGCAAGUCUAAAGUGUACUCCUGGGGGGGGCGGGGCACAUGGCUGGCUCAGUCAGUAAAGCGUGCAACUCUUGAUCUCAGAGUCGUGAAUUAGAGCCCUGGGUUGGGUAUAAAGAUUGCUUUUUAUUUUUCUUUGAGUAGGCUCUGUGCCCAGCAUGAGGCCCAGCAUGGGGCUUGAACUCUCGACCCUGAGAUCAAGACCUGAGCUGAGAUCAAGUUGGACACUCAACCGACUGAGCCACUGAGGCGCCCUGAGAUUACUUUAGAAAAACAAAAUUGUAUUUCUUGGGACUCCUGGAAGACCAGCUGUCUGUGGCCCUGAUUCUUACUAGUAGUAGCAAUAAAAUAAUAGCAUGGACAUGUGCACUGGGCCAAGUAUUUAGUGUUAUUUUAAACUAGGUUUCUCUCUUCUGCUACUACUCUGGUACUUAACAGUUUUUACUAGGACUGUGUUUGGGUUUACAAUCGGUGGGGUCGGAGAAGGAGGAGGAAAUAACUUGUGACUUUUGCUGCUUGUCUUGUUAGGGUUCCUGGCUUUGUGCUGGUGACUCUUUUCUUGAUAACUGAAACAUAAUGGGAAACUGAGGCACAGCAGCACCAAGCGGGGAAAGAAUUCCUGCAUGGGUCUGCUUGACUCAGAAGCUUGAUUGAGGAACAUUUGCAAAAAAGAGGGAAGUCAGAAAAUGUGCCUUUUCUUCUCAAAAAGAGAUGAGUAAUCCGGUUUUAAGUUGCGGAGGAAAAGUGUGAGUGUUACAUUUGUCCCUGUACUGCCAUUUUCUGUGACUCUGAGAGACAGACACGGUAGAGAGAAUGUGACUCUGAGUUUAGAGUUUAUUCCUUGACCGUAAGUACUUCUUUAACACAUGUCCAUAAAUGCCACUGGGAACAUUUUGUCAUAAAAUUAUCCCAGAUGGAUUUGCUCAAUACCUUUUAUGUGCCAGGUUUGGAGGUGACGAGCAUUGCUCAUAAAACCGCACUUAACCCUCCAGAUGGCUCUCGAGUUCAGCUUCAUGUCCCUUCAUGGGUAAGGGCACUGAGGCUGAGGGAGGUAAGAUUUGGCGUCUGUCGUGCCUCUCCCUGCUCAGGACGGUCCUGUAACCAACCAGACUGCAGUCAGGUCCCUCACAUGCCGUUGUUGUCAAAAUUAGUUGGUUUUCUCUGAAUCCAGUUUUGGGCAGUGGGUGGAAGGGGGAUGGGCCUGGAAGGUCCAGGGUUCCCUUUCGUAGCUUGUAAGUCUGCCCUGUGUUUACAGGGAGGGAUCAAUGCUGCUCUGGGGAACAUGGAGGAGGACAACUGGAGGUGGCACUUCUACGACACUGUGAAAGGCUCCGACUGGCUGGGGGACCAGGAUGCCAUCCACUACAUGACAGAGCAGGCCCCUGCUUCCGUGGUAGAGGUACUGUCCUUGCAUGGUCUGUUUCUGGUAGAAAAGAGAGGUCGAGGCAAAUGUGGUCAGCCCAAGGAAUGGUAACCAGUUGAUGUAACAAGGGAAAUCUUUCCUAUCAUUAACCAUUCAGUUCAUUUAAUAACAAAGUUUUUCUCUUUUCCUGAAGUGUUGAAAUUUUCAUAGAACGUAUUGGUUUGGGUUUACAGGUUUAUGUUGAAAUUGUUUAGUGUAAAUUAGCGAUGAAUAUCCCGAUUCCUUCAAGGUCCUGGGUGUUUGUUUUCACAUUUCACAGCUGGAGAAUUAUGGCAUGCCAUUCAGCAGAACUGAAGAUGGGAGGAUCUACCAGCGCGCUUUUGGUGGACAGAGCCUCAAGUUUGGGAAAGGCGGGCAGGCCCAUCGGUGCUGCUGUGUGGCUGACCGCACUGGCCACUCGCUGCUGCACACGUUGUAUGGAAGGGUGAGGCCACCCUGGGUGCAUGGGGUGACAGGACAUGGUCUGGUUAGGCCAGGCAUGUGGUGAUGAGCUGGAAACAGGCCACUCUGGGACAGGUCAGAAGGUCAGCAUGUCAGCCCUGGGGUUGCUUAAUAAACAGCAGACUAACAUGGCAGGAUGUAUAUUUGUUAAUUGUUAAUUUGAAAGUGUCUAUUUUAGAAAAUUAAAUUGAUCUGCCAUACCGAAAGUAUAAGAACAGAGCAAGUAUUUUAGGACUCAGCACCUCUGAGUCCCUGAACUAAUUGAUUUAAUACUUAAGUGUUCAAACUGGACUAAGGUUUGGGGGACAGUAGUUACUGGAUAAUCAGGGCCUACUUUGGCAUAGCCAAGUAAUCAAUAUUUGGAAUAACUCUGAUUCAUAAUAUUCAGUAUUCUGAAUUCUUGCUCUCAAAUGGGGACAGAUUCUUGAUUUGCAAAUGUUAGGACCCUGGUGGCAGCUUCGGCUGAGUGCAUUGACACACGUGUGACAGGAUCUGCCCAUCCUGCAGCAUACUGUGUCAUGUUGGGGAGCUGGUGGUUUUGUGAGAGCCCUUCAUGUUUACUGAGCAGCUACAGCAUCUUCUCUGACAUGCAUGACAUGUGUAUGUCCUUCUUAUGGUCUGAUCUGAUCAUACAGCUGAGAGCAGGGUACCUUUCGUGUUGAUCCACAACAGCAUCAGCACUAUGGUUGAUGCAAGUAAAGUCUGUGGCUUCUUUUGCAGCCCAGGGUUUACCCUGUCCAUUUGUUACACACCACAUCAGAGCCCUUGACUUGUUCAUAUGAGCAGUGUUGCUGAAAUGUUAGUUUAACACCCUAAAUGCAAUUGAAACUGUGGGAUUCUUUUUUCUUUCAUGUUUUUUAGUCUCUGCGAUAUGAUACCAGCUAUUUUGUAGAGUAUUUUGCUUUGGAUCUCCUGAUGGAAAAUGGAGAAUGUCGUGGUGUUAUUGCGCUGUGCAUAGAAGACGGGUCCAUCCAUCGCAUAAGAGCAAAGAACACUGUUGUAGCUACUGGGUAGGAGUCUAACUUGUAUUUAGUUUUUCUGCAGGAAAGUUGGGUCUCCGAGUUUCUUUAAAAAAAAAAAAAAUGGAGGCAGUGACCUAACCCAGGAGCAUAAUAAGCUUUGCCAGUCUCAGUUCCAUGUCUCCAAAGGGGACAAUCAUAGCACCUGCCUCAGGUGGGUGAGGAAGUAUCUGUCUUCAGUUUGCACCUGAGAGGACCCUUGAGGAAACGGGUCUGGAGAGUCACGUGACACUUCCUGGCUUAACCUGUCUUUUGCUUUAGUGGACACUGUGUUUAUACUGAUUUCUGGUGUAGAUAAGUGCUGUUUGUUCACAUGAUGAAACUAAAUUACAUUUCUUACAUUGUCAGUCCGUUAUUUUAACCCUUUACAAGAGUGAGUCCAUAAAGCAAAAAUUUCAGCAUUAAAGCAGCACACGCUUCUCAGGGAGGUCGUUCAGAUAGCAUGAAAGUGCCUUGAAGUAUAAACGAGAGUGCCUCCUCCGUCUCCCAGGCUCCCGCCCCAGUUGCCCAGGGUAGCGCGUGCAGACAGCACCUGUCACGGUGCUGCGGGCUGCUCUGUCCGCUCUGGUGCCACUAGAAAGGCGAUCCUGAUGGGACGCCAUGUGUCACUGCUUUCUCUCUGCUGGCCCGUCUGUUUUCCAGAGGCUACGGGCGCACCUACUUCAGCUGCACAUCUGCCCACACCAGCACCGGUGACGGCACUGCCAUGGUCACCAGGGCAGGCCUUCCCUGCCAGGACUUGGAGUUCGUUCAGUUUCACCCCACAGGUAGGACGGGACCACUUUCAUGGGGUCAGGACUCUCAUACCUCUCGAUGCCCCUCUGUAGUCCCACACACUAGCACAUUCUCAGAGCCCAGCUUGUCAUUUGCUCAAGGAAGUUUUUUCCAUUUCUCCCGAGGCAGUUUAGGCCACCACCUUGCCUUGGCGAUACCUGCUCCAGUCGUAAAGCUGGAGCUUUAUGUAAAGACUGUUCAGUGUCCCUCUCCCCAACUCGAUUGUCAGCUCCCGGAGGUGGGGACAGGUGCUGCAGUUCACAGUGCCUGGCACAUAGUAGGACCUCAUCAGUGUUUCCUGAGUGAAUGUCCCGAGAGCUGUUGAUCAGAGUUGUGGCAUGGGCAGAUUCCAGUGUUACAGGGAAAACAUCAGGCUGUCCAGUAGAGUAUAAAGUCGGAACGAGCUAUGGCAGAUGCGGCCCCCUGAGAUGUUAAUGACUGUGGUGCCAUUUGUGGGCACAUUGAGCUCAUCUUGCGUCCUCAGACAGUUGAGUGUGCAAAUGUGGAGUUCAGACGGGAGGUCUAGGCUGCAGGUGCAGAAUUGAGAGAGUUCGUUAUUCAGAUAUGAAUUGGAGAGAGAGAUCUGCCUCUUGGGACAGGCAAGUCUCAAUCUGGACUUUGUUUCUAGUUGCUUUUCUGACCUGUCAACUGAGGGGACACCACACUUUGUGGAAGUAGCCUCCCGCCAUGCUAAAGAACCAGACCUGGGUUUUCUCUUUGCUCUGUCAGUAUAUUUUUUCUGAUCCCUGGCAGGGAUAAAAAGUAAAAAAUGUUUUAGGUAGUUUUUUAAUACUGGUUUUGGGGGUUUUUGUUUUGUUUUAAAGUUUACUUAUUUAUUUUGAGAGAGAACAUGUGAGCGGGAGAGGAACAGAGAGACCAGGAGAGAGAGAAUCCCAAGCAGGCUCCGUCCUGUCAGCAUGGAACCUGACUUGGGGCUCUGGCUCCCAAACUGUGAGAUCAUGACCUGAGCCAAAAUCAAGAGUCAAAACACAAUCGACUGAGCCACCCAGGUGCUCCAGGAAAUUCUUGUUCUUUUUUUUUUUUUUCUUUUAAAAGUUUGUUUAUUUUUGAGAGAAAGAGACAGUGUGAGCAGGGGAGGGGCACAGAGAGAGAGAGACAGAAUCCGAAGCAGGCUCCAGGCCCUGAGCUGUCAGCACAGAGCCUGACUGGGGCUCGACCUCAGCAACCGUGAGGUCAUGACCUGAACUGAAGUCAGAUGCUUAACCAACUGAGCCACUCAGGUGCCUCUGCUUUCUUGUUCUUAAAGCAAGAAAACUCUUCUGGUGUGGUAAUGACAGUUUUAACUUUCAGGUGACAUUGACAUAGGUGUUUGUCUCCUUGUUAAAAUUCAGGUGCUUGGCAUUCCUUAUUGAAGGGACAGUGAGAUUAAGGGCACAGACCUGCCUAGUUGCCAGGUGUGCGUUUGGCUCUGCCUUCCCAGCUGCAGAACACUGACAAGUUCCUAAGCUAUCAUUGCUCUCUCUGAAAAUAGGGAUAUUUCCUGGGGUUGUUACAAAACUUAGAGUUGUAUACAGCAAGUACAGUAUAAGUAUGAACGGUGGUAAUUAUUGCUGUUGUUAACCAGUUUUUAUUUUUUUAUUUUUUUUUUUAAGUUUUUAUUUUUAUUUUCAAGAGACAGAGAGAGACAGAGCAUGAGUGGGGGAGGGGCAGAGAGAGGGAGACACAGAAUCCAAAGCAGGCUCCAGGCUCUGAGCUGUCGGCACAGAGCCCAAUGCGGGGCUCAAACCCAUAGACCGUGAGAUCAUGACCUGAGCCAAAGUCGGACACUCAACCGACUAAGCCACCCAGGCGCCCCAUUAACCAAUUUUUAGAUACGAAUUUUCCAAGCUGGUUUUUCUUACCUAGUCACAAUUUCAUGCUACAAAAGAACAUUCUGCAAUUAAAACAAACCUGAGAUAUUUAACUCAUGCUUGGUUGUGCUGAAAGCUGAAAAGCUGUUGGAAUUGGAAUAUUCAGCCAAGCUGUGUUGUUACUACAUUAGCUGCCCUUUCUCCUCACUGCUGCUUCAUUGGUGCUUUUUGUUGUCAAAACUUCCUACUAUUCCUUACUUAACCUGUCCUUUGUCUUAUUCUGUUGUGAGCAUCAUGCCCCUUGCAUACCCUUUUCCUUUCCACCCCCAGAAACGUAUUGGAAAAAAAUUUGCAUUUGAAAUAUUGACCUAGCAAUUGUUAGGUUAUAAUCAUCUAAUUAACUGGGUUCUUUGCAGGUAUAUAUGGUGCCGGUUGUCUCAUUACAGAAGGGUGCCGUGGAGAGGGAGGCAUUCUCAUUAACAGUCAAGGCGAAAGAUUCAUGGAGCGAUAUGCCCCGGUUGCAAAGGACCUGGCAUCCAGAGACGUCGUGUCUCGGUCCAUGACUCUGGAAAUACGUGAAGGAAGGUCUGUGUCAUUCUAUCCAAAGGUGUCUGAGUGCACACACACACAUGCACACCCUCCUUUCUCUUGGGUGGCUGCUAUUCAAGUCUACAUGUGCACCUGGGCUGGUGUGGCUUCUGUGUGAGUUUUAGCAACUCACCUACCCCACCCAACUCUGAGUAGGCUGCCUCUCCUCCCCUCUGAUGGUUGUUUGUCAAUUUAUGAUAUCCCUCUAAAAACCUACAUUUUGGGAAGUUAAGCUGGUUUGACUUCAGUCUCUCUCAAAUCUGUGGAACAUCAAUUGUGUGUAUGAGUGUUAUGAUAGAGACAGACACUCUGUGUGGGGGAGCAAGACACACAUGCCCACAACCUAAGUUAGCAUAUGGGCCUUCGGUGCUGUUUGGGGACCCACAUGCGUUCGAGACCUUCACUGUGCAGGCUCUUGAGUGCCAGUGCUGCCUUACGAUGGUGAUCUUUCUUGUAUCUUUGAUGUUAUAACUUCUAGAGAUUUUAUAUUUGGAGUGUUUGCAUUAAAAGGACUUUCUAAUGCAUUUACCAAGGAAAACA
rnacentral:lncRNA from 1 species